GUGAGUGACAGUUUUUAAAUCCAUUACCAUUAGAAAACCACAGGUUUUAAGAAAAUUUUAUUUUCCAUUUAUAUUGAGGUACAAUUGACAUAUAGUAAAUUUCACCCUUUUAAGCACACAGUUCUUAGAAUUUUGAAAUACAGUUAUGUAACCACCACCACAAUCAAGAUACACAACAGUGCCAUCGGCCCCUAAAAUUCCCCCAUGCCUCUUUUGUAACCAUCCCCUCUUCAAACCGCAGCCCUUGGCAACCACUAAUCUGUUUUUCUUCCUGUAGUUUGGCUUUCUUAAGAAUGUCGUAUAAACUGAGUCAUGGAGUAGGUAGCCCUUGGUAUCCUGCUUCUUUCAGCUAGCAUAAUGCAUGUGAGAUCCAUUCAUGCUGUUGUGCAAAACAGUAGUUUGUUUCUUUUUAUUGCUGAGUAAGGAUUUUAUUGUAUGGAAUGUACCAGUUUGUUUAUCCAUUCUCCAGUUGAGAAACAUUUGGGUAGUUUUUAGUUCCUGGUGAUGACAGAUAAAGCUGCUGCAAACAUUCAUGUGCAUAUUUUCGUGAGGAUGUAGUUUUCAUUUCACUUGAGUAAAUGCAAAGCAGUGAGAUUGCUGGGUCAUACAAUCUCGUCCAGAAGUAAUAUACGUCAAGAAAGAAGAGAUUAUAAAUGUCUAGCAGGGACUGUUAGAAAUAUAUUUGGUGCCCUUGAUGAUUUCUCAAUCAAGACAGGGAACACUGAGGUACAACCACAUAGAGCAUCGGAGCUGCUACGGUAAAGGGGAAGGAGAGAUUCCUACUCUGGUUGAUGACACUGGAUCCUUGCAAGCUGGACAUCUCGGAACAACAGACACAGCUGUUCAACCUCAGAGGAGUACAGGGCCCCCUCUGCUGGGAUCCAGGAACAAGCUAGCAAGGCCUCCAGACAGGGGAUUUCCACUGAUCCUUUGUCACUACUGAGCCCAAAAGUGCACGGGCAGCAAGUUACCAAAUCGCCUUCCACAAGGUCUACAAACCCAUCUGGGACACAUGGCAGGGACCAACACGCUUCUAGACUUCCCAUGUUCCAAGUCCACUUCUGCCGGCAGAAUAGAAACCUCGUCAGUUAUCACAACUCAGAUGAAAAAGCCUCACAGCUUGCGGUGUUGACAGUAUUCUAGAAGACCCUACACCCCUGUGGCUUCUCGAUGACUAAUGUGGAGCCAGCAUCUGUCAGCACAAACUCAGAGUGAUUACCCAGAAAUAGGUAUCCUUCUAAUUAAAAUAUCUGACCAUGUCCCCAUCAGCCACUUGCCUCAUUUGGGACACCACCAACCAUCCUGCACGGCUGCCCAUGUUUCUGUUUCUCCAGCCCAAGCAUGCAGUUUCAGUAGGUCCUUCAGAGGCUGCCUGAAAGCAUCCCGCCUCCAGAGCCCUGUGGGUUGAAGACCGCUGUGCUCUUUUCUUUCGGCUUCACACGCUGGUUAGUCUUCUGUUUGCUUUGUCAGCACGGUACUUUUCAUUUCCUUCGUGGUGUUUUUAGGAGCUCCUGAAUUUCACAGACAAAUCCAGACCCCUGUGUGGAAAGCCUGCGGUGGUGUUCUCCGUCUUCCCACAGGACUCCCUGCAGCCAGGAAUUCUAGGGGAGCACCUGACGCGAGGUAUACGCCCAGAUGGCCUGAAGUAACUGAAGAAUCACAAAAGAAGUGAAAAUGUCCUGCCCCGCCUUAACUGAUGACAUUCCACCACAAAGGAAGUGUCAAUGGCUGGUCCUUGCCUUAACUGAUGACAUUCCACCGCAAAAGAAGUGAAAAUGGCCGGUCCUUGCCUUAACUGAUGACAUUACACCACAAAAGAAGUGAAAAUGGCCGGUCCUUGCCUUAAGUGAUGGCAUUACCUUGUGAAAGUCCUUUUCCUGGCUCAUUCUGGCUCAAAAUCACCCCCACUGAGCACCUUGUGACCCCCACUCCUGCCCGCCAGGGAACAAUCCCCCUUUGACUGUAAUUUUCCUUUACCUACCCAAAUCUUAUAAAAUGGCCCCACCCCUAUCUCCCUUUGCUGACUCUCUUUUUGGACUCAGCCUGCCUGCAUCCAGGUGAUUAAAAGCUUUUAUUGCUCACACA
rnacentral:lncRNA from 1 species